GAUGAACGCUGGCGGCGUGCCUAAUACAUGCAAGUCGAGCGAACGGACGAGAAGCUUGCUUCUCUGAUGUUAGCGGCGGACGGGUGAGUAACACGUGGAUAACCUACCUAUAAGACUGGGAUAACUUCGGGAAACCGGAGCUAAUACCGGAUAAUAUUUUGAACCGCAUGGUUCAAAAGUGAAAGACGGUCUUGCUGUCACUUAUAGAUGGAUCCGCGCUGCAUUAGCUAGUUGGUAAGGUAACGGCUUACCAAGGCAACGAUACAUAGCCGACCUGAGAGGGUGAUCGGCCACACUGGAACUGAGACACGGUCCAGACUCCUACGGGAGGCAGCAGUAGGGAAUCUUCCGCAAUGGGCGAAAGCCUGACGGAGCAACGCCGCGUGAGUGAUGAAGGUCUUCGGAUCGUAAAACUCUGUUAUUAGGGAAGAACAUAUGUGUAAGUAACUGUGCACAUCUUGACGGUACCUAAUCAGAAAGCCACGGCUAACUACGUGCCAGCAGCCGCGGUAAUACGUAGGUGGCAAGCGUUAUCCGGAAUUAUUGGGCGUAAAGCGCGCGUAGGCGGUUUUUUAAGUCUGAUGUGAAAGCCCACGGCUCAACCGUGGAGGGUCAUUGGAAACUGGAAAACUUGAGUGCAGAAGAGGAAAGUGGAAUUCCAUGUGUAGCGGUGAAAUGCGCAGAGAUAUGGAGGAACACCAGUGGCGAAGGCGACUUUCUGGUCUGUAACUGACGCUGAUGUGCGAAAGCGUAGGGAUCAAACAGGAUUAGACACCCUGGUAGUCCACGCCGUAAACGAUGAGUGCUAAGUGUUAGGGGGUUUCCGCCCCUUAGUGCUGCAGCUAACGCAUUAAGCACUCCGCCUGGGGAGUACGACCGCAAGGUUGAAACUCAAAGGAAUUGACGGGGACCCGCACAAGCGGUGGAGCAUGUGGUUUAAUUCGAAGCAACGCGAAGAACCUUACCAAAUCUUGACAUCCUUUGACAACUCUAGAGAUAGAGCCUUCCCCUUCGGGGGACAAAGUGACAGGUGGUGCAUGGUUGUCGUCAGCUCGUGUCGUGAGAUGUUGGGUUAAGUCCCGCAACGAGCGCAACCCUUAAGCUUAGUUGCCAUCAUUAAGUUGGGCACUCUAAGUUGACUGCCGGUGACAAACCGGAGGAAGGUGGGGAUGACGUCAAAUCAUCAUGCCCCUUAUGAUUUGGGCUACACACGUGCUACAAUGGACAAUACAAAGGGCAGCGAAACCGCGAGGUCAAGCAAAUCCCAUAAAGUUGUUCUCAGUUCGGAUUGUAGUCUGCAACUCGACUACAUGAAGCUGGAAUCGCUAGUAAUCGUAGAUCAGCAUGCUACGGUGAAUACGUUCCCGGGUCU
rnacentral:rRNA from 1 species